rnacentral:rRNA from 1 species
AUUGAACGCUGGCGGCAUGCCUAACACAUGCAAGUCGAACGAGUGGCGGACGGGUGAGUAAUGUCUGGGAACCUGCCCGAUGGAGGGGGAUAACUACUGGAAACGGUAGCUAAUACCGCAUACUAUCAGAUGUGCCCAGAUGGGAUUAGCUAGUUGGUGGGGUAACGGCUCACCAAGGCGACGAUCCCUAGCUGGUCUGAGAGGAUGACCAGCCACACUGGAACUGAGACACGGUCCAGACUCCUACGGGAGGCAGCAGUGGGGAAUUUUGGACAAUGGGGGCAACCCUGAUGCAGCCAUGCCGCGUGUAUGAAGAAGGCCUUCGGGUUGUAAAGUACUUUCAGCGGGGAGGCGGUAUCCGCAGAAUAAGCACCGGCUAACUCCGUGCCAGCAGCCGCGGUAAUAC